rnacentral:rRNA from 1 species
UGUGCAAAGGUAGCAUAAUCAGUUGGCUUUUAAUUGGAGUCUGGCAUGAACGGAUUUCUGGAAAGUAACUGUAUCUUAUUUAUUUCCGCGAAAUUAAUUUGUAAGUGAAAAUACUUACAUCUUUAGAGAGGACGAGAAGACCCUAGAAAUUUCUUUUAUUUUGUUGGGGCGACAGAAUUACAAUUAAACUAAUUUGAAUUAACGUGGCGUUAUUACAGUUCGAUUAAAUUACUCUAGGGAUAACAGCAUAAUUUAACUAGUUUGUGACCUCGAUGUUGGACUAGGACAUUAAUGGUUUAGAAGACCUUUAAUAGUGCUCUGUUCGAGCAAAUAUUUCCUACAUGAUCUGAGUUCAAAUCGA